rnacentral:rRNA from 1 species
UACGUAGGCAGCGAGCGUUGUUCGGAGUUACUGGGCGUAAAGCGUGCGUAGGCGGUGUGUCGCGUCGGCCGUGAAAACCUGCAGCUUAACUGUGGGCUUGCGGUCGAUACGGGCAGGCUCGAGUUCGGUAGGGGAGACUGGAAUUCCUGGUGUAGCGGUGAAAUGCGCAGAUAUCAGGAGGAACACCGGUGGCGAAGGCGGGUCUCUGGGCCGAUACUGACGCUGAGGAGCGAAAGCGUGGGGAGCGAACAGG